ACGGAGGGUGCGAGCGUUAAUCGGAAUUACUGGGCGUAAAGCGUACGCAGGCGGUUUGUUAAGCGAGAUGUGAAAGCCCCGGGCUCAACCUGGGAACUGCAUUUCGAACUGGCAAACUAGAGUGUGAUAGAGGGUGGUAGAAUUUCAGGUGUAGCGGUGAAAUGCGUAGAGAUCUGAAGGAAUACCGAUGGCGAAGGCAGCCACCUGGGUCAACACUGACGCUCAUGUACGAAAGCGUGGGGAGCAAACGG
rnacentral:rRNA from 1 species